AUAGGUCUCUGCAGGAAAGUAAUGGGAGUUACCAGAUUGGUGGGUGAGGCCAAAACAGAGGGGUGUUUUCGACCAUGUUACCUGAUUGGCUGACAUUACAGUAACU